UACGUAGGGUGCGAGCGUUAAUCGGAAUUACUGGGCGUAAAGCGUGCGCAGGCGGUUUUGUAAGCCAGAUGUGAAAUCUCCGGGCUUAACCUGGGAAUGGCAUUUGGGACUGCAAGGCUGGAGUUUGGCAGAGGAGACUGGAAUUCCCGGUGUAGCAGUGAAAUGCGUAGAUAUCGGGAGGAAUACCGAUGGCGAAGGCAGGUCUCUGGGCUAUAACUGACGCUCAUGCACGAAAGCGUGGGGAGCAAACAGG
rnacentral:rRNA from 1 species